GGACCAAGUCAGAGUACUCCAAACUCUCUGCUACCUCGUUAGUGACAAAUACAGCGACGGCCCUCCUCAACAAUCGGGCUAGCAGGAGCUCUUUCCCGAGAGCGGCGUAUUCAUGUCCUCGUUCCGCCUUGCUGCCAUGAGUCAUGCUUCAAAGCCCAAUUGCAUGCGUUUAUUCCACGCACUUUUUGACCACUUUUUUACAGUUGAGGAGUGUCAAAAUGCUGUCGCUUUUGGUCGCCCUGGAAACAAACCUGCAGGAACAGGAAAGCGCAUCCUUGACCGGAAAAAAGUUGAAGAAAUCCUAACGUAUGUCCUGAGAUGCGGUACCCUUCCUGAUUGGGACAAUAUUGAGGAGGCCAAGCUCAAGCAAGCUUUGGUAAACAAAUGUCGGGCAAGAGCAGGUUUUAAGUAGGCCCUUGUACCUGCCAAGUUCAUUCUGGGGUAGGAUGUUUCCUUUGUAAACAUGUUGAUAUUUUGGUCUGGGGUUGCGCAGUAUAUAUUGUAUAAAAAUGCCCUAUGAUGUAGCUUUUAGUACCACGUUAUACUGUGACAAUGCAUAUUGAGCUGUGCUGUGUCUCGCAAAUUUGGCACUGAUGCAACCUCACUGACAAGCUAGCGGCUAAUAUCCCUUCACAGUACAAAGCUGUUUCCAAAUAAAAAACGGAAAUGACGCAGUAUGUUACUGCUUACAUAAUCAGGUAUAUUAGUAGCUUUUGUAACCAAUUUCAAAAUGUUUUAAUGAUCAUUUAUGUACCAAAUGUUAUAUUGUUAUCGCAGGAGGCUGUUCUAUUGUUUGCAACAGUGUUUCUUAAUCAUAGGGCUGGGGCCCACUGUUUGGCUGCGAAUACGCCUCGGGGGCCGCCAAUAAAUAUCUGUUUCUUAGCUGUGGUCCGUCCAUACGGGCCGCAAUGGUACUCAGUUGUAAUACACUUUUGUGUAAGAUGACUAAUUCAGUGUUUGUAUUUGAGUGGGUCCGAGACCCCUCUGUAGUGGAAAAGUUGGUCGGGCCCUGAGGUAAAAAAUGUUAAGUAUCCUUGGUGUUCAAUGUGUGAUUAUUUUUUAUAUGUAGACCAGUUCCAAACACCACGGUUACAAUUUUAUAAAUGUAUUUCAGUUUUUGCUUGGAAUAUUUCCAAAAUGGAAAUUUAGUCAUUUACUCACCCUCUUACUGAGAUUAAGUCAGGUGUUUUUUUUAACUACAGUACAUGGUUUGCUCAACAAGGAGUUAAAAAAAACUACACCGGACUUUUUCACAACAACAAAGUGAGUACUUAAGGUUAAAUUCAUUUAGUUUUGUAUUUGUUUUAUUUUUUGUAUAUUGUUUUCUAUGUUGUUUUAAUUAUUGUGAAUGUCAAUAUGUACAUUAUGUAUGUACUAAUUAACUACAUUUAAAUUGUUGUAUUUAAUCUAUUUUUAUAUCUUAUAUUUUGUAUUUGUAUAUGUGUGUAGCCAAAUAAAGUGAUACACCGCUCAA